rnacentral:rRNA from 1 species
GUGGACUCUCAAGCGUGAGGUAAGGGCAUCUGGUGAAUGCCUUGGCAUGUACAGGCGAUGAAGGACGUGGCACGCUGCGAUAAGCGUGGGGGAGCUGUGAGCAAGCUUUGAUCCCGCGAUUUCCGAAUGGGACAACCCACCUUCACCAUUUAAGACUGGCCCAGAGUAAUCUGGUCCCGUGUUAAAUGGGAGAGGUAUCACUAAGCUGAAUAAAAUAGGCUUUGGUGAAGCGAACCCGGAGAACUGAAACAUCUCAGUACCCGGAGGAAAAGACAUCAACCGAGAUUCCGUUAGUAGUGGCGAGCGAACGCGGACCAGGCCAGCGCCUGGUGCUUAAUUAGCAGAACGAUCUGGAAAGUUCGGCCAUAGCGGGUGACAGCCCCGUAUGCGAAAAUGAAGCAUCAGGACUUGAGUAGGGCGGAGCACGUGAAACUCUGUCUGAACAUGGGGGGACCACCCUCCAAGCCUAAAUACUCGUACAUGACCGAUAGCGAACCAGUACCGUGAGGGAAAGGUGAAAAGCACCCCGAUGAGGGGAGUGAAACAGUACCUGAAACCGGAUGCCUACAAGCAGUGGGAGGGUCCUUGAGACCUGACCGCGUACCUCUUGCAUAAUGGGUCUGUGACUUAGUGUAUCAUGCAAGCUUAAGCCGUUAGGUGUAGGCGCAGCGAAAGCGAGUCUGAAUAGGGCGACUGAGUAUGAUGCAUUAGACCCGAAACCCGGCGAUCUAGGCAUGACCAGGUUGAAGGUGCGGUAACACGCACUGGAGGACCGAACCGUUUAAUGUUGAAAAAUUAUCGGAUGAGUUGUGUUUAGGGGUGAAAGGCCAAUCAAGCCGGGAAAUAGCUGGUUCUCCGCGAAAUCUAUUGAGGUAGAGCGUCGAAUGAUUGCCGUUGGGGGUAGAGCACUGGAUGGUUGCGGGGGUCGCGAGAUCUACCAAUACUAACCAAACUCCGAAUACCAACGAGUCUAGUCCGGCAGACAGACGGCGGGUGCUAAGGUCCGUCGUCAAAAGGGAAACAGCCCUAACCUACAGCUAAGGUCCCCAAGUCACGUCUAAGUGGGAAAGCAUGUGGGAUUUCCAAAACAACCAGGAGGUUGGCUUAGAAGCAGCCAUCCUUUAAAGAAAGCGUAACAGCUCACUGGUCUAAAUAAGAGAUCCUGCGGCGAAGAUGUAACGGGGCUCAAGACGUGCACCGAAGCUUAGGGUGUGAUCGUUUACGAUCACGCGGUAGCGGAGCGUUCCGUAGGCCGUUGAAGCGAUCUGGUAAUGGGUCGUGGAGGUAUCGGAAGUGCGAAUGCAGACAUGAGUAGCGAUUAACAGUGUGAGAUGCACUGUCGCCGAAAUUCCAAGGGUUCCUGCUUAAAGCUAAUCUGAGCAGGGUAAGCCGGCCCCUAAGACGAGCCCGAAGGGGGUAGUCGAUGGGAACCACGUUAAUAUUCGUGGGCCUGGAGGUGUGUGACGGAUGGCGUAAAUUGUUCGGCCUUAUUGGAUUGGUCCGGGCAGUGAAGUUGUCCCAGGAAAUAGCCCCUCCGUAUAGACCGUACCCUAAACCGACACAGGUGGAAUGGUAGAGUAUACCAAGGCGUUUGAGAGAAGUAUCCUGAAGGAACUCGGCAAAUUGCCUCCGUACCUUCGGAAGAAGGAGGCCCCACAUUAAGGCAACUUUUUGUGGGGGGCACAGGCCAGGGGGUAGCGACUGUUUAGCAAAAACACAGGGCUCUGCUAAGUCGGCUUCAAGACGACGUAUAGGGCCUGACGCCUGCCCGGUGCCUGAAGGUUAAGAGGAGGAGUGCAAGCUCUGAAUUGAAGCCCAGGUAAACGGCGGCCGUAACUAUAACGGUCCUAAGGUAGCGAAAUUCCUUGUCGGGUAAGUUCCGACCUGCACGAAUGGCGUAACGACUUCCCCACUGUCUCCAGGAUAUGCUCAGCGAAAUUGAAUUCUCCGUGAAGAUGCGGAGUACCCGCGGUUAGACGGAAAGACCCCGUGCACCUUUACUGCAGCUUCAGAGUGGCAUUAGGAAAGAACUGUGUAGCAUAGGUGGGAGGCUUUGAAGCGAUGACGCCAGUUGUCGUGGAGCCAUAGGUGAAAUACCACCCUGUUGUUUUCUGAUGUCUAACCUCGCACCGUUAUCCGGUGCAGGGACCCUCUGUGGCGGGUAGUUUGACUGGGGCGGUCGCCUCCUAAAGAGUAACGGAGGCGCGCGAUGGUGGGCUCAGGACGGUUGGAAACCGUCUGUUAGAGUGCAAUGGCAUAAGCCCGCCUGACUGCGAGACUGACAAGUCGAGCAGAGACGAAAGUCGGUCAUAGUGAUCCGGUGGUCCCUCGUGGAAGGGCCAUCGCUCAACGGAUAAAAGGUACGCCGGGGAUAACAGGCUGAUGAUUCCCAAGAGCUCAUAUCGACGGAAUCGUUUGGCACCUCGAUGUCGGCUCAUCACAUCCUGGGGCUGGAGCAGGUCCCAAGGGUUUGGCUGUUCGCCAAUUAAAGUGGUACGUGAGCUGGGUUCAGAACGUCGCGAGACAGUUUGGUCCCUAUCUGCCGUGGGCGUCGAAAUUUGAGAGGAGUUGACCCUAGUACGAGAGGACCGGGUUGAACAUACCUCUGGUGUACCUGUCGUCGUGCCAACGGCGCAGCAGGGUAGCUAUGUAUGGACGGGAUAACCGCUGAAAGCAUCUAAGCGGGAAGCCUCCCUCAAGAUAAGAUUUCUUCGAGCGGUCGUAGACCACGACCUUGAUAGGCCGGAUGUAGAAGUGUGGUAACAUAUGGAGCUAACCGGUCCUAAUUGCUCUGAUCGCGCCUGA